rnacentral:lncRNA from 1 species
UUGGCCUAUACGUGUUCCUAUCACCAGUUCUGAUAAACAAAGGAGUGAAAUAAGUAUGAAUAGAAACAAGUAUGAAAGAUAGUAAUGGAAGUAUGGACAAGGCAAAAGGCACCACAAACGAUAGAGCUACUGAGUGUUCCCUAUGUGCUCCUUUUUUGAUCACUUCUCUUUUCUUUUACUAUUUUUUUUUCCCUUUUCUUUGUUUUUGUCGAAACUUUUUCUCUUGCUUUUGCUCUUUGAUAUUUUUUUCUUAGCAAUAAGCACAUGAGGACAAACCACAAAAAAUUUGAGCUCAAUUGGAUAAAAGAUGUGGCCUAUAGAAAAUUAGAAUUGUGCUCCAAAAAGCAUACCAAAACUUGUAGGCUCGGAAACUCGAUUUUCCUGAUCGAAUUUUGCAAAACUAAUUUUCACAAAUCCAGCUUUGCUGGGAUAAAACAGAUCUAAAAUUUUCUGGUGUUCUCUGUGGAUAUAAGAUUUGCCCCGUUUCGAGAUCGUACGUAAAAGUUAUGAUAGUUUUAAAAAAACUGCUCAAAUCAAGAUUUUAAUGGACACAAGAUGGAAGGAUUGUGAUACGAGAUGGCGGCGGGUGGAUAGAUCAACACAAACUAGAAAAGAACACAAUCUAAACCAGCAACAUGACCUUGACGUAGGACACAAAUUCAAUACGGCGGACUCUAAAACUUAAAUAUGCAAGGCUAUGACGCGGAUGGUUGUAGGGCAGGA